AUGGGGUCCCGAUUUCCAUCCUGACUGCUCUCAACUAGCUCUGUGAUUUUGAUCAAGUCCUGCUACCUUUCUGCCUCAUUUCUCAUUUGUGAGAGGGAAAUGAGAUUAUUAUGAAGAUGGACUGAGAUAAUAAAUGGGACAAUGCAUUGAAAAGCACAAAGGGUAACACAAAUGCUGUAUAGUAUUAAUCAGGAUUCUGGUUAUUAUGACUGUGUUAAAUAAUUAAUCACAUGAUAGAUAGUUUUAAGUGGAAAUAAGGGAUCUUCCCCCAACACAAGUGGAUUUGCUUUACAAAGUGGAAAUGAUUCAUCAUCAUCAGGUUAGGUCAUGAUGGAUGUCCUCAUUCAUUCAUUCAUUCAUUCAUUCAUUCAACAAAUAUUUACUGCUAUGCCUGUUUCUAGGCACUGUUUUAGGGACACCUAAAUGAACACAACAGACGAAGACCCCUACCCUCAUGGAGCUUUCUCUGAUAUGCCCUCUCUUGUGAAGGGCAGGGCUCUGGCCCUUCUUGGCUGUGUUGGCUGUGUUUAGAAACAAAGGGGAAUGAGAACUACUGUAAGCAGUCUGAGGCCCACUUUGAAUCAAGCAGGCACUGUCCUCAAAGGUGGAGCAGGGUGCAAAACCAAGGGAUUCAAGAACAAAGGAGAGACAAUGAGUGAGAGGUCUAAAGCUCUCUAAGGAGGGAAGGAUCUGAAGAAGUUCCUGAGCCAGAGGAAAAACUGACUGCCAGCCUUCUGAGCAGUUCAGGGACUCUUAAGAAGAAGGGAUCCUGGGAAAAGAACGAAAGGAGGAGUGAGAAAUCAAAAUUCCUUGAUGUACAAGGUGGAACUGAUGGCAAUGGAGAAACACAUGGAUCUACAUGGAUCUUUCUGGAGGAUGGCAAUGAGAGUCCUAUGGUAUAGCACAUCUUUCUUUUCUGGACCCCACUGGCUUCCAGCUGGGCUUUAGUCACCUGCCCCAGCUCCUCUCACCUGCCAGCCCGGCUCUCCUCUGCGGUCGCCUGCGCCAGCACCACCAGCGCCUCCCAGCCUGCUCUGCAAUGUGGGGUCACCCACACGGACACCACUUCCACUUCGCAGCCUUUCAUCUCGCCCGCAUUUGGGGUCUCUGAUGGGCUGGCUGCAGCAGCCUGGAGCCACCCAACUGCAUCCCUUUGCCUUUUGGAAACUGCAACCCACGCACAAGCUCCUAAUU
rnacentral:lncRNA from 12 species